UUAACGACUCUCGGCAACGGAUAUCUCGGCUCUCGCAUCGAUGAAGAACGUAGCGAAAUGCGAUACUUGGUGUGAAUUGCAGAAUCCCGUGAACCAUCGAGUCUUUGAACGCAAGUUGCGCCCUAGGCCAUUGGGCCGAGGGCACGCCUGCCUGGGCGUCACGC
rnacentral:rRNA from 1 species